UAAGCAGUGUGUGAAAUGAUGAGGCUCAACCUCAUGUCCAUGCCCUGAACUGCUCAGCUAGAGCAUGAGAGAGGUAGCUGGAAUUCCUAGUGUAGGAGUGAAAUCCGUAGAUAUUAGGAGGAACACCGAUGGCGUAGGCAGGCUACUGGCUCAUUGCUGACGCUCAGGCACGAAAGCGUGGGGAGCGACCGGGAUUAGAUACCCCCGUUAGUCCACGCCGUAAACGAUGGAUGCUA
rnacentral:rRNA from 1 species